rnacentral:lncRNA from 1 species
CCCCGCCCCGCGCGUCCCCCAGCCCUGCCCCCACCCCGCCCGGGCGGGCGUGUGCGGACGUGUCUCGGGCGUGACCUCGGAGCAGCUGCGCCACCGCUCAGCCCCGCGGCGGGAGAAACCCGAGCUCCCAACAAAACAGUUCCAUCUUUGGCAAGCCCUCUGGUAUUUAAGGCGCUGCCGGUGGGGAAAGAUGCCGCGUGCCUGAGACGCUCUGGGAACUCACGAGCUUUGCUGCCCUGGUUUUACGUUUCUGAAGCGUCUGAACAUCUGCAAGGGAACCUCCCGUAUCUGUGGGGUCCCCAAGGGUCCCCAAGGACGAGAUCUCCCUCCCCCAAAGCUGAGACAAGUUUUCCUAAUGCUGAACUGCCUCCACCUGCAUCAGGUCCCGGGGUGCAAAGCUCGAGUUGCCAGAAAAAUGAUGGAUUCUCUUCCGGGAAGAAGUUUGAGGCCACAUAAUAGUAACUAACGUUGUUUGCUUACUCUGUGCUAAGCAUUUUUAUGCAGCGAUUCAUUUAUUCCUCACAACAACCCUAUGAAUCUUGUGAAAUAGGAAUUCUUACCAUCCCUGCUUUAUAACAGACCGCAGAAGGUGCGCAGAGAGGUUCAGCAACUUGCUCAGGGUCACCCAGCUGGUAAAUGGUAGGGCCCGAGUUUAAAUAAUUGCCCCAGGGCCUGUGCUAGUAACAACCACUGUUCCCACCAGUUGAGAGAUGCUGCUUCUAGAAUGUCAACGAGGUGGAGCUCUGGAAAGUGUGGAAGUCAGGGCAAGUCAGGACCUUCCUAAAUGUUCUGAUUUGGUCAGAAAGAGCUGGGGACAAACGGGCUGGUGUAUCCAGCCUCACUAGGAACUGUGUAUGUGCUGGCUGUUUUGGACAUGUGGCGGGUGGUUAACUCUGUCCCGUCACUCUCAGGGAGGGCUCCCUGGCAGUUGGGCUUACCGGAAAGGGAUAGUGGCAGGAGGUGGGGAUCGUAGUCGGUCUGCUACCGAGUGUGAGUCUGAAAGGAGA